rnacentral:rRNA from 1 species
GACGUAGGGCGCGAGCGUUGUCCGGAUUUAUUGGGCGUAAAGAGCUCGUAGGCGGCUUGUCGCGUCGGUCCCGUGAAAACCCGGGGCUCAACUCCGGGCUUGCGGGCGAUACGGGCAGGCUAGAGUUCGGUAGGGGAGACUGGAAUUCCUGGUGUAGCGGUGAAAUGCGCGAUAUCAGGAGGAACACCGGUGGCGAAGGCGGCGACCUGGGUAGAUACUGACGCUGAGGUGCGAAAGCGUGGGGAGCAAACAGG